UGUCGCCGAGCCUGUGGUCUCCUACACCUCUGUGGCUACAACCAGCUUCCCACUGCACAGUCCUGGUCUGUUGGAGACAGGCGCUCCUGUGGGUGAUAUUUCUGGGGGAGAUAAAUCCAAGAAAGGGGUAAAACGGAAGAAGAUUUCAGAAGAGAGUGGAGAAACAGCAAAGCGGCGGUCUGCCCGUGUCCGAAACACCAAGUGCAAAAAAGAAGAGAAAGUAGACUUCCAGGAGCUUCUGAUGAAGUUCUUGCCGUCCAGGUACUGUGUAUUUUUUCUGAUUGUCAGAAACAAACCCACAAAGCUCCAGCAUACACCAUCAAUAACAUUUCUCAUUCCAUUGCCACCCUCUUCUCUGGUCUCCUCCUCUGUGUUCCCAUAACAUCUGUGCAGAUGUCUGAAGCACAAAUCUCACUGGAGUAGGAU
rnacentral:sRNA from 1 species